UUAUCUUUGCCGAAAUCUGGUGAGCCGUAAAAAGCGCUUAAAAGGGAAUCCGGUGAAAAUCCGGGACAGACCCGCUGCUGUAAGCUCCACACCAAAGUUUCUGAAGAAUAUAUCCACUGUUUUUUUAUGGGAAGGAUUUCAGAAACGGAGUAAGUCAGAAGACCUGCCAGAAAAUAAACGUUUGAC
rnacentral:ncRNA from 19 species